rnacentral:rRNA from 1 species
AUUGAACGCUGGCGGCAUGCCUUACACAUGCAAGUCGAACGGUAACGCGGGGCAACCUGGCGACGAGUGGCGAACGGGUGAGUAAUACAUCGGAACGUGCCCAGUAGUGGGGGAUAGCCCGGCGAAAGCCGGAUUAAUACCGCAUACGACCUACGGGUGAAAGCGGGGGACCGCAAGGCCUCGCGCUAUUGGAGCGGCCGAUGUCAGAUUAGCUAGUUGGUGGGGUAAAAGCCUACCAAGGCGAUGAUCUGUAGCUGGUCUGAGAGGACGACCAGCCAAACGGGGACUGAGACACGGCCCAGACUCCGACGGGAGGCAGCAGGGGGGAAUUUUGGACAAUGGGGGCAACCCUGAUCCAGCCAUGCCGCGUGCGGGAAGAAGGCCUUCGGGUUGUAAACCGCUUUUGUCGGGGAAGAAACGGUCUGCGCUAAUACCGCGGACUAAUGACGGUACCCGAAGAAUAAGCACCGGCUAACUACGUGCCAGCCGCCGCGGUAA